CUGAGUUACAAGCUGUGAUCAAAGCAGUGCAGACAGGACACUGGUAUGAAAAAAAUGAUCCAAACUGCAGGUAUGUUACAGCUUAUCAUAAAUUAAAGGAUGAACUGUCUAUUACUAACAAUGGUAUACUUUUACGUGACACUCGGAUUAUUAUUCCAAAGUCUCUUCAGAGUAGAACUUUGGCCAUUGCUCAUGAAGGGCACC